CUCAAAUACGGCGAGCGUGAAGCCAGUGCGGAAAAUCGGUGGGAAUCCCGCAAUGGCUUC
rnacentral:sRNA from 1 species